GACGAACGCUGGCGGCGUGCUUAACACAUGCAAGUCGAACGGAAAGGCCUCUUUCGGGGGGUACUCGAGUGGCGAACGGGUGAGUAACACGUGAGUAACCUGCCCUUGACUUUGGGAUAACUUCAGGAAACUGGGGCUAUUACCGGAUAGGAGCUCCUGCUGCAUGGUGGGGGUUGGAAAGUUUCGGCGGUUGGGGAUGGACUCGCGGCUUAUCAGCUUGUUGGUGGGGUAGUGGCUUACCAAGGCUUUGACGGGUAGCGGGCCUGAGAGGGUGACCGGCCACAUUGGGACUGAGAUACGGCCCAGACUCCUACGGGAGGCAGCAGUGGGGAAUAUUGCACAAUGGGUGGAAGCCUGAUGCAGCAACGCCGUGUGCGGGAUGACGGCCUUCGGGUUGUAAACCGCUUUCGCUCAUGACGAAGCGUUGUGUGACGGUAGUGGGUAAAGAAGCACCGGCUAACUACGUG
rnacentral:rRNA from 1 species